GUCUUCGUGUGCUUGGCUUGCAACAACCAACAACACGCGCAAGGUGCAACAGCACAUAUUCCAGCCCAUAAACUAAUAAAACCGACACAAACUUCGAUGAAGUGAAGGAACCGAGUGUCACUCACUUGACUCAUCAGACACCCUGGUCCUUGCCUAAAAAGACGUGUUUAUGGCUGCUUAUAGCCUUACCCUUGAGUUGGUUCACCCUCCGCCUAUGGAUUCAGGAACCCAAGUGUUUGGUGAUGUGUGGAGAGUCUCUGUCACUGACCAGGUUUGAGCAGAUCGUGGGUGCCGAUGAGUACUUUGGGAACCAGGCGUCUAACUGAAUAGAAAAAGUGUCUGCAUUAGCUUUGCCAACACGCUUGGACCAGAGCAGGCUUCGGUGAUGCUUUGACUUGCAGAAUGAGAGAUGUGUGAGGAGUGUUAGACCCAGUCAACAGAAGCAUGUGGACAGACAACGACUAGACUGAUGGAGAUCUGCUCAUGCACAGAUGAUUCCAGUUUGGGAAUUGACUCCAACAGCAGUGACGAGCAUUUUUCCAGAGCCCUCCAUGACAUGAGUACCUGCACAGAGGAAGUGGAUAUGUGAAUAAGGGUCACAUGCCGUUCAUAUUGGUGCCAAUGCAUUCACCACUGGUUCUAAAACAUUCACGCAAAGCUAAGUUUGACAAAUAACUAGUUGUCCAGUUUUCCCCUCCACACAGAACAGGUUUACCAAACUUGCUCUUAAAAAAUGGGUGUAAAGAUGACUUUAAAUAUUUGACAUAAAAUGUCCCUGAAAAUCAAUUCCUAUGCAAAUAUUGACCCUAAAUAUUAACAGUUCAUUUCUGACCCUGGUCCACACCAAAGCGCAAUAAAGCUGUUUAUUAUAAACAUGUGCUGCAGUUAUGCCAUCUGCCACUUUAAAUGUUUGAGUGCUUCAAAGCAGAAUGGAUUCUGAUUGGCUGUCAGUGUUUUUCGUCAUUCAUCAGCUGGAUACAAUUAUUUUGAAAUUAAUUCCAGCAGUUGUUAUUCUGUUAUUAUUGUUAAAGUUGUAGUGUAGACUCUGUUAUUCUAUAACUUUAGAAUGAUUCUUAAAAUUAUAUAUAUUUGAUAUAAUCCCUUUGAAUGAGGGACUCUUGGAACAGGAUGAAGACUCAAAACAGGUGGGUCUUCAAAUCAGAUGACAUUAUUGGGCUCUUUGAGCACCAGCCAAAAGGUAAAAUCAGAAAUGAGUUGCCAUUUUCUUCCUGGCAAAUAUAGCCCUCAAUAAUUGUUUAAGCUUGAGAAGGGAGUCAGGAAGAGGUUUUUGCUGGGUUAGACUCGGUAUGCUAACACAGGCUCUGCUGGAGAAGGGCCCACUUAAAUCCCCCCUCAUCUCCUCUGGGAUGGCACACAGCAAUGUCAUUCUAUCAGAGGAUCAACUGGCUUUCAUAAAAUGGGAUUAGCUGAAGAUGUGCAAUAGCCUCGCUGAGAGGUAGCAGGUCCUACAUAGCAAACAUCUGAACUCCCUAGAUGGACAUUUAUUUGGUUUGGCUGAACUUUUGGGUAAAGUUAAGACAGGAUACAUAGAAAAUGCUAAAAUGUUACAGGGUUGUGCUGCUGAAUGUGAAUCAAAUGUGUUUUGGUUUGUUCUGCUAGUGAAGGGUUGCGGUCUCUUUAUGUCCCACCUGACAGCAGCAUAGGAUCCUUCUCCAGCGAUUUCUUCACAUGGUCAGACUCUCCAGUUAAAGAGCUCUCAUCUAUUUUGAGGUCGUUCCCCUGGAUGAGAACACCAUCAGCAGGCAGGAGGUCACCUGAUGAAGAAUGUAUCCCAUUAAAAUAAUUUACAUUACUGUCA